UACGUAGGUGGCAAGCGUUGUCCGGAAUUAUUGGGCGUCAAGCGCGCGCAGGCGGUCCUUUAAGUCUGAUGUGAAAGCCCACGGCUCAACCGUGGAGGGUCAUUGGAAACUGGGGGACUUGAGUGCAGAAGAGGAAAGCGGAAUUCCACGUGUAGCGGUGAAAUGCGUAGAGAUGUGGAGGAACACCAGUGGCGAAGGCGGCUUUCUGGUCUGUAACUGACGCUGAGGCGCGAAAGCGUGGGGAGCAAACAGG
rnacentral:rRNA from 1 species